GCUUCAAAGAACAAUGGAAUGUGGCAGUUACAAUGAUCUCAUUCUGUUGGGCAGAGUAACCUAGGAUAAUGAGCAGAAUUCUCGCAGCUGCGGAGGCUAAAGGAAAUGAAAUUACAAAGCAGAUUUUUAUUUUGAGUAGAGAAAGGUCUCUUAAACAUGGCCGCGGUUAGGCUAAAGUAGACAAUUUCUCUACAGCGGUUCACAAAACAUGUUUCAUAUGAGCAAUCAGAACAGGAAGAGAAACUAUUCUCACUUUUCUCUCCCUCGCAGGCAGUGAAGAGAGAGUGUUGGUCCGUUCUCUUUGUGGAAGCGUGGAAACCACAACUGCACCUCCAGUCCAGUCUCCAGUUUCCUUUGAGGAGGUGGCUGUGUAUUUCACCAAGACAGAGUGGGCCCUGCUGAAUCUGCACCAAAGAGCUCUCUACAUUGAAGUCAUGCAGGAGAAUUACGAGAGUGUGGCCUCUCUGGGAGGCGGGAAUGUAAGAGAGACUAUGAUGGAAACAGACGAAGGCCUUACAUCUGAAGAAAGGCUGAAGAGGUUGCCAAAAAGAUCCCAACAGAGUAUUUCCUUUGCAGAUGAGCUGGCUGGAA